rnacentral:rRNA from 1 species
AGGUGCGAUCAUACCAGCAUUAAUGCAUCGGAUCCCAUCGAAACUCCAAAAUUAAACGUGUUUUGGCGAGAAUAGCACUAAGAUGGACUUUUGUCAUAGGACUUU